rfam:Danio rerio chromosome 19, GRCz11 reference primary assembly.
AUAGACAGCCACAUCACCCUGCCGCCCAAGACCGGUUACUCACUGAAGCUAAGCAGGGCUGAGCUUGGUCAGUACCUGGAUGGGAGACCACAUGGGAAAACUACGUUGCUGUUGGAA